GUUUAAGUCUUCCUGCUGUGAUAUCAACCAAGAGACUUCAUUGAACUGAAUCACUACAGACAAUUUUGCUGUCUUCACCUGGAAACAGCCUAAAACUUGAGUGGGGUCUGAAGGAUUAGGCUGUGAUUUGACUGGAAUAUUCCAUUGCAUCACAUGGCUAUAUUUAAUUUCUAAGCUCUGCUGAAAAGUAAAUUUACUAUGCUCUGCCUGCACAGUAAAUGGCUGGAUACCACAAUCCUAGUGCAAUCAACUGCAAUAGUUCCUCAACAGGUUUGGGUCCAACCCCAACUGAAUUAUGAAUGGAAAAAGCUGCUGAGAAACAGUAGCCAGCUCAGUGGAGAAGCAGAAGCAGACUGGGAGCAGCACACACCUGCUUUUCCUGGAGGUGAUGAAGAAUAUUAUUUACCUAUUGAACACUAAUAUGAUCUUAAGUAAGAAUAUGCAAUUCAAUUUAAUAACCAGCUAGGAAAAUGCACACUGUCUGUGCUUGGGAUUGGAUCCACAGGGCCACAGAAGAGUUUAACAAAUGGCUUUUUCCACAUUUUGGUGUGGAUAAAUCAGUGGUCAGCUCCAUACACUUUGCUAAGGCUACUGUUCAUUGCAGAUACCUCUUGCCAUUUCAGCUCUGGAGAAAAAAAAUCUUGCUUUUUGUACCUCUAUGAAAUAUUAUUUAAAAGUCAAAGACUUAUGGUUACCUGGCAACCUAUGAAUGACGCCUCUGGAAAAGGAACUUGGAAGAGGGGACCUAUUGAAAUCAGUCAUCUUUCUACAUUGUAAAUGAAGUUCUCUCACAAAAAUCCCAAGUGCAAAUGGGUCUUUCCACUCUGGGAGUAGUUUAAAGUUAAAAUUAUUGGCAAAACACAAAAAUAUAAAUAUGUUUCUAUGAACAAACAAGGAUGGUAAAACCUCUUCCCUGUCCUGACCUUUUUACUCUCCUAGCCUGGUCUGUAACUUCAUCUGAGCUGAAAACAGGUUCAGCUCUUUCUGCAGGUGCAAGUGAUUAAUUAGUAAUUAAUAUAAGCAUAAGAACAGUCAUUGAAGUGUGCCUGAGUAGCUGGUGCAGGCAGGGCAUUGCACUUUUCUCCCUUUCAGGCUGAAAGGCUGCCCUUGCCCAUCCCAUCAGGACCUCAGAGCUGGUGUCUGUCCAGUUAACAACACCUUGAGAAAACCUUUUCUCUUCCAUUGCCUCUGCAAUUCCACAGCAUAACCUGCUCUAGAUGUGAGCUGGAGUCCAUCACUAGAGUUAGAGAAAGCAGGAUGGACACUGGAGGGUGAAAUGCCAAUUUCAGAGCUUUCUGAGCCCCAUGGAGAGCCCAGGCACCGG
rnacentral:lncRNA from 1 species